rnacentral:rRNA from 1 species
AGCGAACGCUGGCGGCAGGCCUAACACAUGCAAGUCGAACGAGUGGCGGACGGGUGAGUAACACGUGGGAACGUGCCUUUAGGUUCGGAAUAACUCAGGGAAACUUGUGCUAAUACCGAAUGCCUUUAGAGCGGCCCGCGUCUGAUUAGCUAGUUGGUGAGGUAAAGGCUCACCAAGGCGACGAUCAGUAGCUGGUCUGAGAGGAUGAUCAGCCACAUUGGGACUGAGACACGGUCCAGACUCCUACGGGAGGCAGCAGUGGGGAAUAUUGCACAAUGGGCGCAAGCCUGAUGCAGCCAUGCCGCGUGUAUGAAGAAGGCCUUCGGGUUGUAAAGUACUUUCAGCGGGGAGGCGUUACCCGCAGAAGAAGCACCGGCUAACUCCGUGCCAGCCGCCGCGGUAAUUC